rnacentral:rRNA from 1 species
AUUGAACGCUGGCGGCAUGCCUUACACAUGCAAGUCGAACGGUAACGGGCCUUCGGGUGCCGACGAGUGGCGAACGGGUGAGUAAUACAUCGGAACGUGCCCGAUCGUGGGGGAUAACGAGGCGAAAGCUUUGCUAAUACCGCAUACGAUAUACGGAUGAAAGCAGAGGACGGCAAGGGCUUGCGCGGACGGAGCGGCCGAUGGCAGAUUAGGUAGUUGGUGGGGUAAAAGCUUACCAAGCCGACGAUCUGUAGCUGGGCUGAGAGGAUGAUCAGCCACACUGGGACUGAGACACGGCCCAGACUCCUACGGGAGGCAGCAGUGGGGAAUUUUGGACAAUGGGCGCAUGCCUGCUCCAGCCAUGCCGCGUGCAGGCUGAAGGCCUUCGGGUUGUAAACUGCUUUUGUACGGAACGAAAAGCCUUCUUUUAAUACAGGAUGGUCAUGACGGUACCGUAAGAAUAAGCACCGGCUAACUACGUG